rnacentral:rRNA from 1 species
GUGGGGAAUCUUGCGCAAUGGGCGAAAGCCUGACGCAGCAACGCCGCGUGCGGGAUGACGGCCCUCGGGUUGUAAACCGCUUUCAGCAGGAACGAAUCUGACGGUACCUGCAGAAGAAGGUCCGGCCAACUACGUGCCAGCAGCCGCGGUAACACGUAGGGACCAAGCGUUGUCCGGAUUUAUUGGGCGUAAAGAGCUCGUAGGCGGUUCGGUAAGUCGGGUGUGAAAACUCUGGGCUCAACUCGGAGAGGCCACCCGAUACUGCCGUGACUUGAGUCCGGUAGGGGAGCACGGAAUUCCUGGUGUAGCGGUGAAAUGCGCAGAUAUCAGGAGGAACACCGGUGGCGAAGGCGGUGCUCUGGGCCGGUACUGACGCUGAGGAGCGAAAGCGUGGGUAGCAAACAGGAUUAGAAACCCCUGUAGUCC